ACAGGGGACACCAGGGCCGCGGACCUGCUGCGCGAGGAGCUGUCGCCGUAACUUCUGCCGCUCCCGGAUCUCCUGCAAGCGGCUAUCCAUGUUCCAACUCCGGCUUUUCACUAUCCCGAGUACUUGUCAAUCUCCAGUGAACUCUUAUCCAACCUUUCUUCCGAGUCUGUGGAACAAAAUUCACCGGGAGCUUACGAACAGAGUAUCCUCAUAGCUUUCCUCAGUAGAGACUUCCGGCGCGGCCGGAAUUGGCUCGCUUGGCCCGGAAGUCCCGCCUCCUUCUGGACGCUUGCUAUGUGACGCCACUUGGAAGGGACCCAGUAAGGGAUCUGUUGCGCCACAGGGGUCUCCAGGGCCCUCGCAGGUUGGGGUGGUCUGAGCUAGUCUGAAGGAGGACAGUCAGCUGACUUCUCCUUUAUCUCUCUUUCCCAGGAUAGCAGGUUCCCUUGGUGUAUUACAGUUUCUGAAGUGUUGAUUCCCUUUUCAAUUGAUUCCACAGAUGACAGUCCUGACGUUUAAAAAAUUGCCAGAUAACCUUUAAUUUUUUUUUUUUUAACAGAACACAAACUUAAGCCAGAUUGCCUAGGAUUGAACCUUGGCCUCUCACUUCCUAGACGAGUGGCCUUGGCUAGUUAACCACCUUCGUGAGCCUCAGUUUUGUCAUCUGUAAAAUGGGAGUCAUAAGUGUCUACCUCACAGAGCUGUGAUUGAAAGGAUAAAUAGCACCUUGCACAUAGCGGUGUAGAAGUGCUUGUUAUUGUUAAUAUUUUAUUUACCUUCACGCAGUGGCGGAAGUGGAGUAAGACAUCAUGUUGCCUCAAGUUUAAUUGGAAAUCGCGUGCCUUGUGAAGAAUGGACACUCAGUAGAUGCUUAUUGAUGAACCUGUUGGUUGAGGAUAACUCGCUAACUUUUCUGAGCUUUGUUGGAAAAACGGGGUCUCACUAUGUGAUGCAGGAUGAUCUCAAACUCCCUGGCCUCAAGCGAUCCUCCUGCCUUGGUCUCCUAAAGUGCUGGGAUUACAGGUAUGAGCCACUGCACCUGGCCUAUCCUGAAUUUUUUUAAUUCAUGCUACAUAGCAUUACAAGUUUGUAAAAAAAAAAAAAAGUUUACGACAUUUUUAAAGACAGAAAAGUAAUAGGCUUUAAAAAUACCUAUAACUAGGAAGGAAAUGCAUAUAAAAUACUACUUUCAAUA
rnacentral:lncRNA from 1 species